rnacentral:tRNA from 1 species
GGGCCCGUAGCUUAGCUGAUUUAAAGCGCAUGCCUGUCACGCAUGAGAUCGCCGGUUUGAAUCCGGUCGGGCCCGCCA